ACUAUGGGAGUUUAGUGGUAGAAUUCUUGCCUUCCAAGUAGGCUACCUGGGUUCAAUUCUCGGUCAGUGCA
rnacentral:tRNA from 1 species